UAUCAAAUACAAAGGGACAACACAACUGCUCAAACUAUAAACUACAGUAAACAACUUUUAAGCGGGGAGAGAUUUUGUGUUACCCCCAACUGAGGCUUAUCUUAAUGAAGGCAAGCGAUUUAAUAAACUACGCCACUGUGCAACGACGAGUAAAGACAAAAACAAAACAAAAAUGAAAUGAAAUAAAAACAAAAGCAAAUUGAAGACCUGAAACUUGAGGAUAGAAAUUGCAAACUAUCCUCAUCCACACAGGUAGAUUCGCGGUCACACCUUAGGAGCACCACGAACGAUACGAUGACGACGAUGGUGUUAUGAAGUUGAAGCUGCAACUUAAAGUUGAAGAUGGAGUGUAAAGGGUUGAAGCUGUCGUAAAAAAUCAUCAGUGUUGGGUUCUGUUGACCGUUUCCACUGAGAAGAGACUUUUGGCUAAGACAAAAAAUAAAAAUCAAGGAGGAUAAAAAAAGUUGCGCACACAUCGCAUCAACUAACUAAUAAUACACAAACACAAAUACAGCGACGGAAAAAACAAUAGGACCACUUUUUGAAAUACAGGUGUUGGAGAGAUCUUGAAACCAAACGGCGAGAUGUGAGAUGAAAGGCGACGACACGUUCAAAAGAAGCCGACUUUUCCCGCCUGCACUAAUUGAGUGCGACAUAUGAAGGUAUUGUAUUUUGUUAUAUAGUGAUGGAAAAAAAGGAGAUCUCGGAUGAAUAUAAAAUAAACCAACGAACGAACGCACGAAAUGAAAUGGAUUUUUUUUUUUUGAACGAGAAGAUCAUUGAAUGGAAAUAAAUUUGAAGUGUGAACAACUGUCAGAGAGACGUGUUGUGGGUUGACAGUUUUGUCGUAGGAGAAACGACACACGUUCACAAAGAAGACAAGAAGAGAAGGCUCUUGUCAAAAAUAUAAAAGAAAAAAAGGGAAAUAAUAAAAAGGUGUUGUUUUGU